GGUUAAGCGACUAAGCGUACACGGUGGAUGCCCUGGCAGUCAGAGGCGAUGAAGGACGUGCUAAUCUGCGAAAAGCGUCGGUAAGGUGAUAUGAACCGUUAUAGCCGGCGAUGUCCGAAUGGGGAAACCCAGUGUGAUUCGUCACACUAUCGUUAACUGAAUACAUAGGUUAACGAGGCGAACCGGGGGAACUGAAACAUCUAAGUACCCCGAGGAAAAGAAAUCAACCGAGAUUCCCCCAGUAGCGGCGAGCGAACGGGGAGCAGCCCAGAGUCUGAAUCAGCUUGUGUGUUAGUGGAACGGUCUGGAAAGUCCGACGGUACAGGGUGAUAGUCCCGUACACCAAAAUGCACAGGUUGUGAACUCGAAGAGUAGGGCGGGACACGUGGUAUCCUGUCUGAAUAUGGGGGGACCAUCCUCCAAGGCUAAAUACUCCUGACUGACCGAUAGUGAACCAGUACCGUGAGGGAAAGGCGAAAAGAACCCCGGCGAGGGGAGUGAAAAAGAACCUGAAACCGUGUACGUACAAGCAGUGGGAGCACCUUCGGGUGUGACUGCGUACCUUUUGUAUAAUGGGUCAGCGACUUAUAUUCUGUAGCAAGGUUAACCGUAUAGGGGAGCCGCAGGGAAACCGAGUCUUAACUGGGCGUUAAGUUGCAGGGUAUAGACCCGAAACCCGGUGAUCUAGCCAUGGGCAGGUUGAAGGUUGGGUAACACUAACUGGAGGACCGAACCGACUAAUGUUGAAAAAUUAGCGGAUGACUUGUGGCUGGGGGUGAAAGGCCAAUCAAACCGGGAGAUAGCUGGUUCUCCCCGAAAGCUAUUUAGGUAGCGCCUCGUGAAUUCAUCUUCGGGGGUAGAGCACUGUUUCGGCUAGGGGGUCAUCCCGACUUACCAACCCGAUGCAAACUACGAAUACCGAAGAAUGUUAUCACGGGAGACACACGGCGGGUGCUAACGUCCGUCGUGAAGAGGGAAACAACCCAGACCGCCAGCUAAGGUCCCAAAGUCAUGGUUAAGUGGGAAACGAUGUGGGAAGGCACAGACAGCCAGGAUGUUGGCUUAGAAGCAGCCAUCAUUUAAAGAAAGCGUAAUAGCUCACUGGUCGAGUCGGCCUGCGCGGAAGAUGUAACGGGGCUAAACCAUGCACCGAAGCUGCGGCAGCGACACUAUGUGUUGUUGGGUAGGGGAGCGUUCUGUAAGCCUGCGAAGGUGUGCUGUGAGGCAUGCUGGAGGUAUCAGAAGUGCGAAUGCUGACAUAAGUAACGAUAAAGCGGGUGAAAAGCCCGCUCGCCGGAAGACCAAGGGUUCCUGUCCAACGUUAAUCGGGGCAGGGUGAGUCGACCCCUAAGGCGAGGCCGAAAGGCGUAGUCGAUGGGAAACAGGUUAAUAUUCCUGUACUUGGUGUUACUGCGAAGGGGGGACGGAGAAGGCUAUGUUAGCCGGGCGACGGUUGUCCCGGUUUAAGCAUGUAGGCUGGUUGUCCAGGCAAAUCCGGAUAAUCAAGGCUGAGGUGUGAUGACGAGGCACUACGGUGCUGAAGUAACAAAUGCCCUGCUUCCAGGAAAAGCCUCUAAGCAUCAGGUAACAUUAAAUCGUACCCCAAACCGACACAGGUGGUCAGGUAGAGAAUACCAAGGCGCUUGAGAGAACUCGGGUGAAGGAACUAGGCAAAAUGGUGCCGUAACUUCGGGAGAAGGCACGCUGGUGUGUAGGUGAAGUCCCUGCGGAUGGAGCUGAGACCAGUCGAAGAUACCAGCUGGCUGCAACUGUUUAUUAAAAACACAGCACUGUGCAAACACGAAAGUGGACGUAUACGGUGUGACGCCUGCCCGGUGCCGGAAGGUUAAUUGAUGGGGUUAUCCGUAAGGAGAAGCUCUUGAUCGAAGCCCCGGUAAACGGCGGCCGUAACUAUAACGGUCCUAAGGUAGCGAAAUUCCUUGUCGGGUAAGUUCCGACCUGCACGAAUGGCGUAAUGAUGGCCAGGCUGUCUCCACCCGAGACUCAGUGAAAUUGAACUCGCUGUGAAGAUGCAGUGUACCCGCGGCAAGACGGAAAGACCCCGUGAACCUUUACUAUAGCUUGACACUGAACAUUGAGCCUUGAUGUGUAGGAUAGGUGGGAGGCUUUGAAGCGUGGACGCCAGUCUGCGUGGAGCCAACCUUGAAAUACCACCCUUUAAUGUUUGAUGUUCUAACGUUGGCCCCUUACCGGGGUUGCGGACAGUGUCUGGUGGGUAGUUUGACUGGGGCGGUCUCCUCCCAAAGCGUAACGGAGGAGCACGAAGGUUAGCUAAUCCUGGUCGGACAUCAGGAGGUUAGUGCAAUGGCAUAAGCUAGCUUGACUGCGAGCGUGACGGCGCGAGCAGGUGCGAAAGCAGGUCAUAGUGAUCCGGUGGUUCUGAAUGGAAGGGCCAUCGCUCAACGGAUAAAAGGUACUCCGGGGAUAACAGGCUGAUACCGCCCAAGAGUUCAUAUCGACGGCGGUGUUUGGCACCUCGAUGUCGGCUCAUCACAUCCUGGGGCUGAAGUAGGUCCCAAGGGUAUGGCUGUUCGCCAUUUAAAGUGGUACGCGAGCUGGGUUUAGAACGUCGUGAGACAGUUCGGUCCCUAUCUGCCGUGGGCGCUGGAGAAUUGAGGGGGGCUGCUCCUAGUACGAGAGGACCGGAGUGGACGCAUCACUGGUGUUCGGGUUGUCAUGCCAAUGGCACUGCCCGGUAGCUAAAUGCGGAAGAGAUAAGUGCUGAAAGCAUCUAAGCACGAAACUUGCCCCGAGAUGAGUUCUCCCUGAGACUUUAAGUCUCCUGAAGGAACGUUGAAGACGACGACGUUGAUAGGCCGGGUGUGUAAGCGCAGCGAUGCGUUGAGCUAACCGGUACUAAUGAACCGUGAGGCUUAACCUU
rnacentral:rRNA from 1 species